CUGCUUUCAGCUCACCGAGGAUGACCUGGAGUACUCGGCUGAACCUAUACCGGAUCAUGGAGGAACACAUCCAGCUUCCAGCCACUGCCCCUUGUCCUGUCAUCAGGCAUCGCCAAGAAGAGCCUGGCUCCAUCCUCCUGGCACUCGUUUCUCCUUCUGUGUAAGUAAAUAACCAGCUCUAAA